rnacentral:rRNA from 1 species
GAUGAACGCUGGCGGCGUGCCUAAUACAUGCAAGUCGAGCGAACGGACGAGAAGCUUGCUCUUCUGACGUUAGCGGCGGACGGGUGAGUAACACGUGGAUAACCUACCUAUAAGACUGGGAUAACUUCGGGAAACCGGAGCUAAUACCGGAUAAUAUUUUGAACCGCAUGGUUCAAUAGUGAAAGACGGUUUUGCUGUCACUUAUAGAUGGAUCCGCGCGGCAUUAGCUAGUUGGUAAGGUAACGGCUUACCAAGGCAACGAUGCAUAGCCGACCUGAGAGGGUGAUCGGCCACACUGGAACUGAGACACGGUCCAGACUCCUACGGGAGGCAGCAGUAGGGAAUCUUCCGCAAUGGGCGAAAGCCUGACGGAGCAACGCCGCGUGAGUGAUGAAGGUCUUCGGAUCGUAAAACUCUGUUAUUAGGGAAGAACAAAUGUGUAAGUAACUAUGCACGUCUUGACGGUACCUAAUCAGAAAGCCACGGCUAACUACGUG